UAGCCAGAGCUCUUUCCAUUGGGCCAUAUUACAGUCUUGAAAAGUAGGUUUUUGCCCCACCUCUGCCACUGACUGGCCAUCCAACUCUGACUAAGCCUUUCUGUUCCCAAAGACUCAGUUCUCUUAUCCCAGGAGAUCAGAAUUCUUUUGCUCAUUGUUAUUCUUUGCCUGAGGAACUAUAAGAGAGUAGGGAGGCUGGGCCAUUGGGUACAAAGCUCCUUGCUAUUCUCAGCCCAUUUAGGCAAAGCCUUUCAAAAACUCCUGGCUAUCCUUUGAGAACCAAUGGGCUAGAAUUUGAAUAAACAGCUUUUCUGCAUAUUGAUGUAGAAAACCACAGAUUAAGAUCAUCUACAUUGCAUUGUAUUUUUAUGUAUUUGGUUCAACAUUUUCCAUUUAUAUUUUAAUGUAGGUAUUCACUGGACAGAAUUUAAUUCUUCUGGACUAGCAGAUAUCUGAGUUCACAGGCCCCCCGAGGACUAAGUAGACCCCAGGUACAGAAUUCCUGGACCACCUAUUCCUGAAUGAAGGUGGGGAGAGAUCGAUGUUCCCAGCGCCAGUGGCACGGGCUCAUCCCGAUGGGGAGAGAGAGAACAGUGACGGGAGCCCAAGACUGUCAUUCAUCUUCUCCUGUUUGUGGGCCCUCUGCCAGACAGGAGUGUGACACCAAAGCAGCUGGAAAAGGUGUGCCCGGAGGUAUGUCGGUCCCUUCUCAUCCACAGGCUGUCAUCAUUGAGCAGGGGGCUCGGCAGGGCUUUCUGUUGUUCCCAGAACAGCUACACUUGAGGUAACUGGCUUAGUGCUUCUUUGCUAAAUACAGCUGGAAGAAGGGCACUGUGAGGAGUCUCAGUGAGGAUGACCCAAACAGUAGAAUGUGGUGGGUGCAGCCGGGGACUAGAAGGGUGGCUCCUGACCAUGCUGGCUCUUCUUCAUCAAUGCUGAUGGCCUGACUGACUCUGUUCUCCCUGUGGCCAUUCAUUCUGGUCUUUACUCCAAGGAUAUAUUUCAAGAAAGGCUGGAGGAAUAAGAACAAGAGCUCCUUGAGAGGGAGAUGAGUCCCUACAAAAAAAAAAAUCUCUCCAAACUAGGUAAGCGAAUCCACAUGAAACUGCCUCAUGGCUCCCUAGGCUACUGAUUUUUGUUGUUAUUGUUGUUCAAAUCUACCAAACUGAGACCUAACAGCCAGAAAUGGGAAUUUGAAAUUGAAUUUGAAAUUUGAAAAGGCUUCAAAAUUAAUCCCUUUGAGGCAGCAAGGUGGUUCAGUGGAUAGAGAGCCAGACCCAGAGACAAGAGGUCCUGGGUUUAAAUUUGGCCCCAGACAUUUCCUAGCCAUGAUCCUGGGCAAUGACUCCUAUUGCCUGUCCCUUACUGCUCUUCUGCCUUGGAACCCAUACUUAGUAUCAGUCCCAAGACAGAAGAUAAGGGUUUAAAAACAAUGAAAAGAACC
rnacentral:lncRNA from 1 species